rnacentral:rRNA from 1 species
ACGCGGGUAAGGGAAAAAAGCUUUUUAAUUUUAAAUAAAGCUAAGCACAUGCUAAAAUGAGUAUUAAUUAACCUGUAUUUUUUAUUGAGGUAAAAUUAUAAAUUAAAUAAAAUAUUUGUAUUGAAAAUUUUUAAAAGGAACUCGGCAAAACUUAAUUCCGCCUGUUUAUCAAAAACAUGGCUCCUUGUUGUUCCAUAUAAGGAGUCGGACCUGCUCGGUGAAUAUAUUUUAACAGCCGCG